ACGAACGCUGGCGGCGUGCCUAAUACAUGCAAGUCGAACGAAGCUUUCUUUCACCGAAUGCUUGCAUUCACCGAAAGAAGCUUAGUGGCGAACGGGUGAGUAACACGUAGGCAACCUGCCCAAAAGAGGGGGAUAACACUUGGAAACAGGUGCUAAUACCGCAUAACCAUGAACACCGCAUGAUGUUCAUGUAAAAGACGGCUUUUGCUGUCACUUUUGGAUGGGCCUGCGGCGUAUUAACUUGUUGGUGGGGUAACGGCCUACCAAGGUGAUGAUACGUAGCCGAACUGAGAGGUUGAUCGGCCACAUUGGGACUGAGACACGGCCCAAACUCCUACGGGAGGCAGCAGUAGGGAAUCUUCCACAAUGGACGAAAGUCUGAUGGAGCAACGCCGCGUGAAUGAAGAAGGCCUUCGGGUCGUAAAAUUCUGUUGUCAGAGAAGAACGUGCGUGAGAGUAACUGUUCACGUAUUGACGGUAUCUGACCAGAAAGCCACGGCUAACUACGUGCCAGCAGCCGCGGUAAUACGUAGGUGGCGAGCGUUGUCCGGAUUUAUUGGGCGUAAAGGGAACGCAGGCGGUCUUUUAAGUCUGAUGUGAAAGCCUUCGGCUUAACCGAAGUAGUGCAUUGGAAACUGGAAGACUUGAGUGCAGAAGAGGAGAGUGGAACUCCAUGUGUAGCGGUGAAAUGCGUAGAUAUAUGGAAGAACACCAGUGGCGAAAGCGGCUCUCUGGUCUGUAACUGACGCUGAGGUUCGAAAGCGUGGGUAGCAAACAGGAUUAGAUACCCUGGUAGUCCGCACGGUAAACGAUGGAUGCCCGCUGUUGGUCUGAAUAGGUCAGCGGCCAAGCGAAAGCAUUAAGCAUCCCACCUGGGGAGUACGCCGGCAACGGUGAAACUCAAAGGAAUUGACGGGGGCCCGCACAAGCGGUGGAGCAUGUGGUUUAAUUCGAAGCAACGCGAAGAACCUUACCAGGUCUUGACAUCUUCUGACAAUUCCAGAGAUGGAACGUUCCCUUCGGGGACAGAAUGACAGGUGGUGCAUGGUUGUCGUCAGCUCGUGUCGUGAGAUGUUGGGUUAAGUCCCGCAACGAGCGCAACCCUUAUUGUCAGUUGCCAUCAUUAAGUUGGGCACUCUGGCGAGACUGCCGGUGACAAACCGGAGGAAGGUGGGGAUGACGUCAAAUCAUCAUGCCCCUUAUGACCUGGGCUACACACGUGCUACAAUGGACGGUACAACGAGUCGCUAACUCGCGAGGGCAAGCUAAUCUCUUAAAGCCGUUCUCAGUUCGGAUUGCAGGCUGCAACUCGCCUGCAUGAAGUCGGAAUCGCUAGUAAUCGCGAAUCAGCAUGUCGCGGUGAAUACGUUCCCGGGCCUUGUACACACCGCCCGUCACACCAUGAGAGUUUGUAACACCCAAAGUCGGUGGGGUAACCUUUUGGAGCCAGCCGCCUAAGGUGGGACAGAUGAUUGGGGUG
rnacentral:rRNA from 1 species